UGUUACAUCAUCCCCCACUUAAACACACGCUAGUCCUCAAACAUAAAGAGAAAGAAGGUAUCUGAACUAUCAAAAAACUGGGGAUAUCCACUCCGCAUGUCUGACUCGGUCUCUCAAGUAUCCUCUUCGACCGGAUAAUGCUUCUAUUGAACCUUCACUGAAACUAACUCUUUGGAUCUCAACUUUCGAAUCUGCCUAUCCAAAAUGGCUAACAACUCUUUCUCAAAAGUGAAAUUCUGACCAAGCAACAUUGAAACCCAUUGAAUCACAUGAGCAGCAUCCAAAUGGUACUCCCUGAGCAUCAAAAUAUGAAAUACAGGGUGAACACCCGACAAACCAGGUGGAAAAGUUAACUCAUAGGCUACCUCGCUAAUAUGCUGAAUAAUCAGGUGAACACCCGAUAUACCAGGUGGCAAAGCUAACUCAUAGGCUACCUCGCCAAUAUGAUGAAUAAUCUCAAAUGACCCAAUAUUGUUACACCUUGUAGUUUUAUAUAUUGAGAUUCGUUGUACAUUAGUUGUCUAAGUUUUGGACACUGGAAUUUGCCUUCGAGGUUAUAUGAGGUUUGGCGUGCUUAAAUCAUGCUUAUAAGCGUUUAAGUUCAUGUUUGGUAAGUUACGAAAGGAUUCAAAAAUAAGUGAAUCGAAGCGGAAAUGUUCGUCAAAAGUUGUUUUUGGGAAAAAUAAGAUAGGGGCCAUAUAAUUGAGAUAUGAUCCGUAUUGUGAGAUAUGGACCAAAUUUAAGGAUUUUAAAAAUUUAUAGAGAGCAGAAUUUUUUAGGGGAAUUAUAUGGACCAACUAUACGGUCCGUAUAAAAUUAUUACAGACAGCAUGUUGGCCGUAUAAUUUUAUACGGUCCGUAUAAUCUAAGUCGAUGGAAUUUUUCCCUUUUGUUAUAAAUUAAAACCCACGACUUGGGGCUUAUUAUUUCACUGAAUCAGAUCCCUAGUGACCCUGUAAGCUCUCCCAACCAUUCCUAAUCAUCCAUAAACAUUCCAACUCAUUUCAAGAGAAGAUCAAACAAUAAAACCCUAAGCUAAUUCAUGGAAGGAGAUUGUUCUUGCUUCUAGUUCAAGGAUUAGUGAACAGGCUUUGGAGUAAGUUGUGUGAGGUGAAUUCUUCAAGUUAUACGGUAUGAUUUUCAUUCUACUUCUUAUGUUAAGGUGAUUUGAAGAUUUAGCAAGUCUUAAAGGUGAAAAUAGUUAUGGAGAAAAGUCAUAAGGUGUUGUGUUGAAGUUGUUGUUAUGGAUUGACUAUGAAAGGAAGUUUUGGGACUGAAUUGAGUUUAAUUUGAAUGUAAUCUCUUGACUAUGGCAUUGUUGAUGUUGUUAUUCUUGUUUUGGAGUUUGGUGGAAGUAGCUAAUUGAGGGAAAUGUUGCCUGAUUUUCGUUAGUUCACCAAUUAAUUUAGCUUGACUUUAUGAGAGUUUCUAUGACUUAACCAUAGUAUCAAUCAUCUUGAAUGUAGAUUUGCAAGCUCAGGAGGAUAGACUUUGAGUGCUUAAGUAGACGACGAUGUAUGUUAAGGUUGUCCUUUUGUUUCUUAUGGCAUGAUCUUAUUGAUACAAACCCACACAAAUGAUAUCCAUAAUGUCCCUAUUCCUAGAAGUACUAAAAGCUUAUGGUUUUUGAUGUUCCUAUGAUAUUGUUGAUAUUUGUCUCAUGAUUAUUGAUCUUUAUCUUAUGGUUAUUGAUCUUAUUCAUUGAUGUUAAUCUCAUCUUAUGGUUAUUGUUCCUUCAAGGUGAGAUACGUUCAUGAUGAUAGUUCUAUAAUGGUAAUCGGAGGUUUUGCCGACCUUACGUCACUCUGACAGAGUCAUAACUCUUCUUUGAGCUCUCACGCAUGCUUUAUAUAUAUAUAUAUGUACCUAUUUUCUCACACCGAGCCGGUCUAUAGUCGGUCGGGCACGACACCUAUUGCGCAUACCACUACAGUUGGUUACGGAUAACACCGAGCCUUAUUAGGGCCGGGUCCGGCUACGGUGUUAUGAUAUAUGUAUAUGUAUGAAAAUGUUUUUUUAAGGAAAGCAUGCAUGACAUCCGCCUUAAGAGGCAUUCAGAUGUACAGGUAGACAUGGAGACAGUUCAGACCCAUAGGCUGCCUUCUCAGCAAUUACAAAAGCACUCCAUUUGUUCCAGAGUUGCAGUUUAGCUUGAGUAUUAGGUCAGAUCAACUUCUGUGACCCGUGGCUGAUCGACGCUUCAGCUUUCUCUCGAGUUUUCAAGAGUACCAGGUCGGAUCCACUUCCGUGACCCGUGGAUGAUCGACGCUUUAGCUUUCUCUCGAGUUUCCAGGGUGAGCAUGGCGUCAUCAUAUGUCCUAUUUUUAUUUCAGAGACAUAGACAUUUAUGUAUUAGUAUUCCAGAUUGUCUUAUUCUCCUUAGAGGCUCUUGUAUUAUUCAGACUAGACCCAGGGGUAUUUGUUGUCUUCCGAACUUGCUACUACUUACAUAUAGAUAAAUCGUGGGGCUUACAUAUUUGUUCUAUUCCGCUGUUUAAAAUUAGUACUUUCGUGUAUUAUUCA